rnacentral:pre_miRNA from 1 species
CAUGUACUGGCGGGGUCCCUUGGCCUGGCCUGUGGGGAUCGGGCAGUCUGACAUUCCCUGAGGGGUCCCGGAUUGUGAGAGGGUGCAGGCCAGGCCGAGGGACCCCACCGGUGCAUG